rnacentral:snoRNA from 1 species
GUGCAGGAUAAGUUACAACAUGGCUGUGUGGUGCUGUGCUGUCGUUCCCCCUGCCAACAGCAACUCGCUUCCUACUAUCCCCUGUUGGCCUCGCUGUCACGGCCGCCAGGGACGCUUGGUCACGAACAC